rnacentral:tRNA from 1 species
GCGGGUAUGGCGGAAUGGCAGACGCGCAUGGUUCAGGUCCAUGUGCUCGCAAGGGCAUGGAGGUUCAAGUCCUCUUACCCGCACCA